rnacentral:rRNA from 1 species
GACGAACGCUGGCGGCGUGCUUAACACAUGCAAGUCGAACGGAAAGGCUCCAGCUUGCUGGAGUACUCGAGUGGCGAACGGGUGUGUAACACGUGGGUAAUCUGCUCUGCACUCUGGGAUAAGCCUGGGACACUGGGUCUAAUACUGGAUAUGAGCUUUCUCCUUGUGGGGUGUGGGGGAAAGUUUUUCGGUGUAGGAUGAGCCCGCGGCCUAUCAGCUUGUUGGUGGGGUGAUGGCCUACCAAGGCGACGACGGGUAGCCGGCCUGAGAGGGUGAUCGGCCACAUUGGGACUGAGAUACGGCCCAGACUCCUACGGGAGGCAGCAGUGGGGAAUAUUGCACAAUGGGCGGAAGCCUGAUGCAGCGACGCCGCGUGAGGGAUGACGGCCUUCGGGUUGUAAACCUCUUUCAGCAGGGACGAAGCGUAAGUGACGGUACCUGCAGAAGAAGCACCGGCUAACUACGUG